UACAGAGGUCUCAAGCGUUGUUCGGAUUCAUUGGGCGUAAAGGGUGCGUAGGCGGCGCGGUAAGUCGGGUGUCGAAAUCUCGGAGCUUACUCCGAAACUGCAUUCGAUACUGCCGUGCUUGAGGACUGGAGGGAGACUGGAAUUACGGUGUAGCGGUGAAAUGCGUAGAUAUCGUAAGGAAGACCAGUGGCGAAGGCGGGUCUCUG
rnacentral:rRNA from 1 species